rnacentral:rRNA from 1 species
UGGUGGGGUGACUUGUCUGGUUAAUUCCGUUAACGAACGAGACCUCGACCUGCUAAAUAGUGUGGGGAAUUCUCUGGAUUCUUCCAAACUUCUUAGAGGGACUAUCGGUGGUGUACCCGGUGGAAGUUCGAGGCAAUAACA